CCUACGGGAGGCAGCAGUGGGGAAUAUUGGGCAAUGGGCGCAAGCCUGACCCAGCAACGCCGCGUGAAGGAAGAAGGCUUUCGGGUUGUAAACUUCUUUUCUCAGGGACGAAGAAAGUGACGGUACCUGAGGAAUAAGCCACGGCUAACUACGUGCCAGCCGCCGCGGUAAUACGUAGGUGGCAAGCGUUAUCCGGAUUUCUUGGGUGUAAAGGGCGUGUAGGCGGGAGCGCAAGUCAGAUGUGAAAACUCAGGGCUCAACCCUGGGCCUGCAUUUGAAACUGUGUUUCUUGAGUGCUGGGGAGGCAAUCGGAAUUCCGGGUGUAGCGGUGAAAUGCGUAGAUAUAAGGAGGAACACCAGUGGCGAAGGCGGAUUGCUGGACAGUAACUGACGCUGAGGCGCGAAAGCGUGGGGAGCAAACAGGAUUAGAUACCCCGGUAGUC
rnacentral:rRNA from 1 species